rnacentral:rRNA from 1 species
CCGAAAGGCAGGAGUGCCCGCAAGGGAGCGCGGAGACAGGUGGUGCAUGGCUGUCGUCAGCUCGUGUCGUGAGAUGUUGGGUUAAGUCCCGCGACGAGCGCAACCCUCACCCCUUGUUGCUACCAGGUAAAGCUGGGCACUCUAGGGGAACUGCCCCGGUCAACGGGGAGGAAGGCGGGGAUGACGUCAAGUCAUCAUGCCCCUUACGUCCUGGGCUACACGCGUGCUACAAUGGCCGGUACAAAGGGAUGCCACACCGUGAGGUAGAGCUAAACCCAAAAAGCCGGUCUAAGUUCAGAUUGGAGUCUGCAACUCGACUCCAUGAAGGAGGAAUCGCUAGUAAUCGCGUAUCAGCACGACGCGGUGAAUACGUUCCCGGGCCUUGUACACACCGCCCGUCACACCACGAAAGCCAG